rnacentral:rRNA from 1 species
AAUGAACGUUGGCGGCAUGGAUUAGGCAUGCAAGUCGGGGGAAUCCCAGCAAUGGGGGAACCGGCGUAAGGGGCAGUAAGGCAUGGGUACCUACCUUGGGGUUCGGGAUAGCCAUCAGAGAUGGUGGGUAAUACCGGAUGACGUCGUGAGACCAAAGAUUCAUCGCCCUUAGAGGGGCACAUGUGAUAUUAGCUAGUUGGUGGGGUAACGGCCCACCAAGGCGAAGAUGUCUAGCGGGUGUGAGAGCACGACCCGCGCCACUCGCACUGAGACACUGGCGAGACACCUACGGGUGGCUGCAGUCGAGGAUUUUCGGCAAUGAGCGCAAGCUUGACCGAGCGAUGCCGCGUGAGCGAUGAAGGCCUUCGGGUUGUAAAGCUCUUUAGUGGGGGAGAAAAGCCGCAAGGUGUGAUCUAUCCCAAAAAUAAGCACGGGCUAAGUUCGUGCCAGCCGCCGCGGUAAAAC